UACAGAGGGUGCGAGCGUUUAAUCGGAAUUACUGGGCGUAAAGCGUGCGUAGACGGUUAUCUAAGUCGGAUGUGAAAGCCCCGGGCUCAACCUGGGAAUUGCAUUCGAGACUGAAUAGCUAGGGUGCGGUAGGAGGGAAGCGGAAUUUCCGGUGUAGCGGUGAAAUGCGUAGAUAUCGGAAGGAACAUCAGUGGCGAAAGCGGCUUCCUGGAC
rnacentral:rRNA from 1 species